AGGACGAACGCUGGCGGCGUGCCUAACACAUGCAAGUCGAACGAGGUCCAUCCAGUAGCAAUACUGGUGAAGACCUAGUGGCGAACGGGUGAGUAACACGUGAGCAAUCUGCCCUUCACAUCGGGAUAACCCCCGGAAACGGGAGCUAAUACCGGAUACGACCACUUCAGGCAUCUGAUGGUGGUGGAAAGUUCUGGCGGUGGAGGAUGAGCUCGCGGCCUAUCAGCCUGUUGGUGAGGUAAUGGCCCACCAAGGCUUCGACGGGUAGCCGGCCUGAGAGGGUGACCGGCCACGACUGGGACUGAGACACGGCCCAGACUCCUACGGGAGGCAGCAGUGGGGAAUAUUGGACAAUGGGCGAAAGCCUGAUCCAGCAACGCCGCGUGAGGGAUGACGGCCUUCGGGUUGUAAACCUCUUUCAGCGCAGACGAAGCGAAAGUGACGGUAUGCGCAGAAGAAGCACCGGCCAACUACGUGCCAGCAGCCG
rnacentral:rRNA from 1 species